rnacentral:rRNA from 1 species
CUUGAACGCUGGCGGCAGGCCUAACACAUGCAAGUCGAACGAGUGGCGGACGGGUGAUUAAUGUCUGGGAAACUGCCCGAUGGAGGGGGAUAACUACUGGAAACGGUCGCUAAUACCGCAUCCCAUCGGAUGUGCCCAGAUGGGAUUACCUAGUAGGUGGGGUAACGGCUCACCUAAGCGACGAUCCCGAGCUGGUCUGCGAGGAUGACCAGCCACACUGGAACUGAGACACGGUACAGACUCCUACGGGAGGGAGCAGUGGGGAAUAUUGCACAAUGGGCGCAAUCUUGAUGCAGCCAUGCCGCGUGGAUGAAGAAGGACUUCGGGUUGUAAAGGACUUUCAGCGAGGAGGCGUGACUCGCAGAAGAAGCACCGGCUAACUCCGUGCCAGCAGCCGCGGUAAUUC